rnacentral:tRNA from 1 species
CGGGUGUAGUUCAAUGGCCAGAAUCCCAGCCUUCCAAGCUGGUUGUGUGGGUUCGAUUCCCAUCACCC